rnacentral:misc_RNA from 1 species
UACGUAGGUGGCAAGAGUUGUCCGGAAUUAUUGGGCGUAAACCGCGCGCAGGCGGUCCUUUAUGUCUGAUGUGAAAGCCCACGGCUCAACCGUGGAGGGUCAUUGGAAACUGGAGGACUUGAGUGCAGAAGAGGAAAGUGGAAUUCCAUGUGUAGCGGCGAAAGGCGUAGAGAUGUGGAGGAACACCAGUGGCGAAGGCGACUUUCUGGUCCGUAACUGACGCUGAGGCGCGAAAGCGUGGGGAGCAAACAGG